UACGGGGGGGGCAAGCGUUGUUCGGAAUUACUGGGCGUAAAGGGCUCGUAGGCGGCCAACUAAGUCGGACGUGAAAUCCCUCGGCUUAACCGGGGAACUGCGUCCGAUACUGGAUGGCUUGAGUUUGGGAGAGGGAUGCGGAAUUCCAGGUGUAGCGGUGAAAUGCGUAGAUAUCUGGAGGAACACCGGUGGCGAAGGCGGCAUCCUGGACCAACACUGACGCUGAUGAGCGAAAGCGUGGGGAGCAAACAGG
rnacentral:rRNA from 1 species